ACGGCUCAGUAACACGUAGUCAACAUGCCCAGGGGACGUGGAUAACCUCGGGAAACUGAGGAUAAACCGCGAUAGGCCAAGAUUUCUGGAAUGAAUCAUGGUUUAAAUCUAUAUGGCCCCUGGAUUGGACUGCGGCCGAUCAGGCUGUUGGUGAGGUAAUGGCCCACCAAACCUGUAACCGGUACGGGCUCUGAGAGGAGGAGCCCGGAGAUGGGCACUUAGACAAGGGCCCAGGCCCUAUGGGGCGCAGCAGGCGCGAAACCUCUGCAAUAAGCGAAAGCUUGACAGGGUUACUCUGAGUGAUUUCCGCUAAGGAAGUCUUUUGGCACCUCUAAAAAUGGUGCAGAAUAAGGGGUGGGCAAGUCUGGUGUCAGCCGCCGCGGUAAUACCAGCACCCCGAGUGGUCGGGACGAUUAUUGGGCCUAAAGCAUCCGUAGCCGGUCCUGCAAGUCCUCCGUUAAAUCCACCCGCUCAACGGUUGGGCCGCGGGGGAUACUACAGGGCUAGGAGGCGGGAGAGGCAAGCGGUACUCGAUGGGUAGGGGUAAAAUCCUCUGAUCCAUUGAAGACCACCAGUGGCGAAGGCGGCUUGCCAGAACGCGCUCGACGGUGAGGGAUGAAAGCUGGGGGAGCAAACCGGAUUAGAUACCCGGGUAGUCCCAGCUGUAAACGAUGCAGACUCGGUGAUGGGCCGGCUUCAUGCCGGCUCAGUGCCGCAGGGAAGCCGUUAAGUCUGCCGCCUGGGGAGUACGGUCGCAAGACUGAAACUUAAAGGAAUUGGCGGGGGAGCA
rnacentral:rRNA from 1 species